GAGGAGUGAUGAUGCUGAGAUUGGUUUCGCUUAUGGAGCUGAUGAUGUCGCAUGAUGUCACAUCUUCUCUUGGCUGUCUGACCAA
rnacentral:snoRNA from 1 species